GCCUGAUACCUGGUAAUAUACAUUUAAUUUAGAUUCAUUGAUAGAAGCAUUGUAUAUCUUAUCGGCCAUUCAUCUUGAGUUUACAAAUGUUUAAACAAAGUAACAAGUAUUUCCAUGUUGUUAAGUUUUAAGGGCAUCACACCAACAUUUGCAAUUGGACUUGCUGCUAUGUUUGCAACCUACUACAUUUUCAGCCUUCAGUAUCAAGAUGAGACAGCCUGCCCUGUGGAAUUCAAAAUUAAUGUGUUUGCGCUUCAUUGAUAUAAAUCCAGAGAGAGGGACAAAUGCCAAAAUCAUCAAGCAAGGUUGUCUCUAAGAAGAAAGGUGUGAUGGUCCAGAAGUCGUCUUCUGCAGUCAAAUACACAUGUGGCCAUGCUACUGAAGAAUCUCCUUGACUUUUUAAUGAAACUUCAUAUAGAUCUUGGCAGCACUGGAAUAAUGCUGCAGAGAGGAACAGCGGCUAUCAAAGUGAUGAUCGUCUCUUCAUCCACAAGAACUAAGAUGUAAAAACACAAACCUACCUCACAGGACAAUUUUAAGAGGUAACCUGCAAGUCUAGCUUGCAGUGGCACAGGUGCCUACCCUACGGUUUCAUCCUAAAUGUUUUUUUAUGCUUAUUAUUGAUACAUCCUGACAAAAUGUUCUACUGUACUAUAAUAGUUUCAAAAUGGCCUUAGGUAUGUUUUCAAACUUAUGUCUUAAAUAAAAAAGUAAACUAUAGGUUAUGCCCUUCACAUUUGGUAAGGAUUAGGGGCAGUCUCUGACGAGCAAUUUAAGAAUGUUAAGUUUAUUGCCAUAGUCUAAAGCAGGAGUGGGGAACCCUGGGUCCUGGAGGGCCACUGUCCUCCAGAGUUUAGUUACAACCCUAAUCAAACACACCUGAAUUUAAUUUUCAAGUGAUCCUGAAGACUCUAAUUUGAUUUUUCAGGUGUGUUUAAUUAGGGUUGGAACAAAACUCUGCAGGACACUGGCCCUCCAGGACCAGGGUUCCCCACCCCUGGUCUAAAGCAAGACACUACUGUUUCUGUUUACUUCUAGAAAGCUCUUUUCAGCAUUGUCCAACUGGAUUUAUUUUCUUUACUUUUUUUGUAGUCAUGUUGACAUAGACAUUGCUCUUUGAAAUAAAGGUGUUUGAUUUGGAAGUUUUUGUUGCUUAUUUUGCAUAAUAUUCACAAUAAUGCAUAUCUUAAGCAACUGUCUUUAGCCCUGGGAAUUCAUUGGCAAGUUCAUUGGGAGACAGAUAUUUUAAAUAUCAAUGAAGAAUUUUUAGAAACUGCUAAAUUGAUGUUAUUUCUAAUACAGUAAAAAAUGCUGCAUAUUUCUGUGAUUAUUUGGAAAUUACAAUAA